rnacentral:pre_miRNA from 1 species
UGGGGGAGGCCGGAUCCUGGGCUGUGUCCGGGAGCCCUGUGCUCCGGGGCCUGCGCUGUUGGAUUCGCGCUCCCUGCUGCGUAGCCCCCU